GGAUGUGAGGGCAGUCUGGCUCCACCCCUGUCACCCACUGAUGACCAGGUACCAGGUUGAUUGAGCUGACCUGGCUGGCCCAGGGGGUGUCCACUUCCCCCUCAAUGCUCCGUCUAUGUGCAUCUCUACCAAAGCUGCACCCUGGUUGAAGAGGGUCAUCUUCCCCAUGGAGAUGGUGCUGUUCAUCAGGCAAGGGUAUACAGCAGCCCUGCCCCCUGCUAGAACCAGCCUCCAAACAAGCUCAAGGUUUAUGGCUAUUUAUAUUGUAACUGCAGUUUCUCUAAUGAUUUUGCAGUGACCUGCCAGAGAUCCAAAGAAAAUAUUU
rnacentral:snRNA from 1 species